rnacentral:snoRNA from 1 species
AAUCCAUGCAUCAAACAUUUCUGAGUUAAGUCUUUAAAUUGUUCCCAAUCUUCAUAUAGUAUUUCAUCUUUCGAUUGCCGAAAACAUGUGAUGCCAUUUCUAAGCUU